rnacentral:rRNA from 1 species
CGGUUGUAGGUAGAGUGCAGGGAGCGGCGGACGAGUGAGUAACGCGUUGGAACCUGCCCUAAACUCGGGGAUAGCCCUCUGAAAAGAGGAUUAAUACCGGAUAGUCCCUACGGGGUAAAGAUUUAUCGGUUUAGGAGGGGCCUGCGUAAUAUCAGCUUGUUGGUGAGGUAAUGGCUUACCAAGGCUAUGACGUUUAGCUGGUCUGAGAGGAUGAUCAGCCACGAUGGGACUGAGACACGGCCCAUACUCC